ensembl:snRNA
GAGCCAAAAGGAAAGAAGAUUAGUACUCACCUUGACAAGGAUGGAAGAGGCUCCCUUGGGCCUAACAACACACAUAUGGUUAAGGCAUUGCCACUCACUUCUAAACAUUAUUAAAAGAGUCAAUAGCCAAGACUUCUG